rnacentral:tRNA from 1 species
GAGGGUAUAGUUCAAGUGGUAGAGUGUGUGCUUAGCAUGCACGAGGUCCUGGGUUCAAUCCCCAGUACCUCCU